UACGUAGGGGGCAAGCGUUGUCCGGAAUCAUUGGGCGUAAAGAGCGCGUAGGCGGCCCUGUAAGUCCGCUGUGAAAGUCAAGGGCUCAACCCUUGGAUGCCGGUGGAUACUGCAGGGCUAGAGUCCGGAAGAGGCGAGUGGAAUUCCUGGUGUAGCGGUGAAAUGCGCAGAUAUCAGGAGGAACACCGAUGGCGAAGGCAGCUCGCUGGGACGGUACUGACGCCUGAGGCGCGAAAGCGUGGGGAGCAAACAGG
rnacentral:rRNA from 1 species